CCCCUGCACCGUGAAGACAUUCCCUCGCUCCCUGAGCUGAGCAGCCGGCAGAGACAAAGGGGGCAAGCUCAGGAAGUGUAGGCUCGGCCAACUGCCUUAGUAAAUUACCUUUCAUGUUCUUAGGAGACGCUUCCAGGGCAUACUUCCCACUCUCUGCUACAAGAUGACGGAGAUGACGAGAUGACGUUGUGCCUACUCGCUUCACAGGAGAGUGUUGUCCUUGUUGGUGUUCUCCCAGCUGGCUUGCUCCACUUCCUCCAUGGUCUACACAGCAGGAUGGAGGAAGGGAUAGAAGGAAAUCAUACUCCUUCCCUUCAAGGGUAUGACCUAGAAGUUGCACAGCCGUUUGGCCAGAACUUAGUAUGUCCACACCCAGGGGCAAAGGAAUCUAAAUGAAAAUCUAAAAGAAAUGGAGUCUUGAUCUUGGACAACUCAAGUGAAAAUCCUAUUACUGUGAAAGAAGAAAUGAAUGGAUAUUGGGAAUUCGCCUGCCAUUACUGUUACGGAAGCAUUUCACCUAAAGCAAUA